CGGUGAUGAACCUCAGGCUUAGCGAAGACCGAGGCCAGGUAAGUUACACUGGUUUGCUGCGAUCUUCGUCGGAUUACAACUUUAAAUGCAGACCAGACCCCUGUGCAGGAUAAAGCUGAAUGUGGCAGCGCUGGACAGGUGUUUAAUGGUUUUGUUCUGAGCAGGGAGACCCUGACUGUGCAGCUGGAUCUACUGAGAAGUGAACGGCAACAUGGAUGGUGUGCCACGAUCCAGACUCUGAUGUUUCUCUUCUGUCUGCCAGAGGUACAUCAUACAGAUGGUCUCCAGUGUUUGACAUGUGCCUCGUUCCACUGUCACCGCACUGUCCUCAGAGUCUCUGAGGAGGUGCUGGCCUUCACCAAGAGACUGACCUCCUGAAGACCCCAGAAUACACGGAGGCAGGGCCGGGCUCAAACUGAUGUUGUUUUCUGAUGUUAAACCUAAGCUAUGUUGUAAAUGGUUAUAAAAAGUACUUUCUAUUAUGUAUAGAACAAUUUGCUUUAAUGUGUAAAAAAGUAUUUACAGGACAAACAAAUAAACAUAUAAAAAUGUUUUGUGAAAAAAAAAAAAAUAAGCUGCAUUAAAAAUAAUGUACAUAAGCACUUUUUAUUUACACAAGUGAAUAUGCAAAAC
ensembl:lncRNA